CUAGGAGUUAAAUCUUGGCUUCUUGUUUUAUAAAACACUAGAGUCUAUGAUGAACAAAAGCCCAGAGGUUAAAUAUUAUCACUUGUAACUUUAAAUACAAAGCACUAAACACAUUUAAAGUCACCUGUAAUGAUAUUUAACUCUUGGUUUCUUGUUAAGUAUAUAGCGUAUGAAAACUGAUUAAACAAGAUAUAUUAUAUCUUAUAUUUAUUUAUUUCUCUCUAUGAAAUAAUCGUAAGCUCAGCCCCCUUCUGUCAUUACUAAUGUCAGUCUCAUUCUGAUGGACAGUUUAUAAAGAGCAGGAGACUUCACUCUUCUCACAGUCAUGGACUUCUCUGCACAGGAAUAAAAUCAGGUUCUUUUUUACUUAAGUUAUUAUUAAUACCAUUACAGUUGUUGUUGUUUUUCUAAUCUUAGCUUUGACUUCCAUCACUAUUAAAUACUGACCAAAGUUUAAUGUUUUAAUGUAACAGAGUAUCCAGAACCAUGGGUGCCCAGGUUUCAGUCGUCAAUCAGACUCCUUACACCUGGUACUUUGCCACUCAAGACAGAGGGGUAAGAUCUCACAGUGCAUUCACUACACAAGAUUAUUUAUGCAAUUCUAGAUUAUAAAUCCUGAUUUAUGGUUCAUUUUUUCCUAGUUAGCAUGUCCUAUAAUUAGCCAGACAAUUACUGAGAAUGGUAUAAUAUCUCACAACAAUAAAUUUGUAUUUAUAUGUCAUUUUUUACUGCUUUUCUGAUGAAAAAACGGAUGUCAAAUUCUGCUUUUCAGUAUACAUACAUCGGUCCUGGCAGCACAACAUCCUAUAAAGAGUCUCUGGCAAUCCAUCGCUACAUCCACAUCAGAUAUGAAAAUCACUCGUGGAAUAGUUUUUCAUACGAGUUUAACACCCAUAAAGGUGACACAUCUUUUAUCCUAAGAGAAACCUACGACCGUUCCCAGAUUCAGUUGCACUGCACCUCUGAAGGCGGCACUCAUUACUGUCCCAACUACGCCUUUGAGUUGGACAUUGCCUCUCCUCCUUCCUCGCUCCAUGCUCCUCACAGUAGCACCCCGUGACAGAAUUCCAGACCUUUAAACGUAAGUAAGCGGCGCCUUUUUUCCCUGCUUGAUUUCCUUUUUUUUUUCCCGUUCGUUCCUCCCCGAUCAAAUGGAGGAACAAGUGAUGUUCCUCACCUUAGCUCAAGCGAGCCCCGACCCGAUUAUCUAUACGAGGGCAUUCGUGCCGCUCGCCCUCACCAGCUCCCUCGAGGGGGAAAUCCUUGUAAAGCUGUUCUGGAUCGGGAUAACUUACCAUCGCCCCGCUGAGCUCCCAGACACCACCAACCUCGGACCCAUCUGCCGGCCAUUCCCGCGCCAAGCC
ensembl:lncRNA